rnacentral:rRNA from 1 species
UACGCCCGAUCUCGUCCGAUCUCGGAAGCUAAGCAGGGUCGGGCCUUGUUAGUACUUGGAUGGGGACCGCCUGGGAAUACCAGGUGCUGUAAGCUUU